GAUAGGCAUCGAUUUUAUUUCCAGCUCUAACAGAACUGCGUUUUUUUCCCGUGUUUUCGUGUUUCUCGUGUUUUAGGGCCAGAAGUUCUUGUGCGAAUGAACAUGUAAAGCCAAACCGAUUUGUGCGGUGGAUCGGGGACUAUAGAUUCGAGCUGUGCGAGGGCUUUAAAGCGAAUUGACGGCGUCGUGCAAGGCAUCGAAAACCGAAAACCUUCGAAGCACUCGUUCUUCGUGUGUGAGUGUGAGUGCAGUGUGUGUUUUCUCUCUAUGCCGUUAUGUUGUUUACCUAUUUUUUGUUUUAAAUAAAAAGUCUUGCGGCGAAGCAAGUUCAAGUUUGGUACUCCUUUCAAACUCGAAGUUUUAACUCACACACAAACAGCCCCCCACCCCCUCCCCCGUCACAUUGAUAAGCGAAUGUGCUUGUUUGUCUUUUAUCAUUAAUGCUACAAAAGAGCGACCGAGAAGCAAGUCGGCGCUAUUGAACAAAUGUCCAAUAUUAAUAGUCGUAACGUGCACGCCGAUAAAAAGGGGCAGAGUACCCAGUGAAUCUGCCCAGUCUGCGGUUGAAAUUAUAUAAAUUAAAGACAUUCUAACAGAAGAAGCAGUCAAGAUUGGCUAGAUUCCCGUCUAUUCAGAGAAAAACUUACACGCAUUUACUAGCAAUACAGUUGCUGUCGCCAUUGUGUUUGUCUCCACUCCACUGGCAAACUCGUUUUGCUUGACUUUGAUGGAAGCAGAGAAUGGAAAAAAAAACAAAAGAGGAAGGCAACUGGCACACAUUUAAAACUGAAAAAUCAGCAGAAAGAGCUGCGGGCCGAAAACCAGCUUGCAAUUGCACUUUGGAAGUUGAAUUUGGAGUUGGGUGCAACAGCGGCUCUCUCUUUCUCAGCGGCGGCGGCGUUCUGUGACGUCAGAAGCAGCGA
rnacentral:sRNA from 1 species